rnacentral:rRNA from 1 species
CUACGUGCCAGCAGCCGCGGUAAUACGUAUGUCACAAGCGUUAUCCGGAUUUAUUGGGCGUAAAGCGCGUCUAGGUGGUUAUGUAAGUCUGAUGUGAAAAUGCAGGGCUCAACUCUGUAUUGCGUUGGAAACUGCAUGACUAGAGUACUGGAGAGGUAAGCGGAACUACAAGUGUAGAGGUGAAAUUCGUAGAUAUUAGGAGGAACACCAGUGGCGAAAGCGGCUUUCUGGACGAAAACUGACGCUGAGGCGCGAAAGCCAGGGGAGCGAACGGGAUUAGAUACCCCGGUAGUCCUGGCCGUAAACGAUGGGUACUAGGUGUAGGAGGUAUCGACCCCUUCUGUGCCGGAGUUAACGCAAUAAGUACCCCGCCUGGGGAGUACGACCGCAAGGUUGAAACUCAAAGGAAUUGACGGGGGCCCGCACAAGCGGUGGAGUAUGUGGUUUAAUUCGACGCAACGCGAAGAACCUUACCAGGUCUUGACAU